AUUUGUCCAAAAUUUUGUGCAAAUUUUUUCUGUUCCCGGUUUCUAUUCGCCAUGUUACUGUGUGCAAUAUCACCCAAGACUGAGACAAAGAACCAAUCAGAACAUGGAAAGAGAUGCUAAAUUUAGACGCAAUUGUGUGGUUUUCCCAAAACAGCAGCAAUUGAGAGGCCCUCAGCAGGUAAAACAUUCAUUUUGUUAUUUUAUAAACUUGAAGCAACAGUGUUUCUAAAUUAUUCUUCCUUUUUCUCACUUUAAACCUGAAAAUUAAUGCUUGUUGUGGACAGAGAUGCUUUGAAGAAUCAUGGUAGAGUACCACUAGAGCAUGCCAUAUACUAAAUAUCUAAGCUCUGGGCCUUAUGGUUUGAGACAAGAAUUAUUUUAAAGGUUUUUCCCUAUACAAGACUAUUUAAACCAUGUCCAUAUUUGACCCAUGGGAAGAUAAUUUGAACAAUCUUGGUAGAGGACCAUUAGAUGAUGCUACAUACCAAAUAUCAAAGCCCUAGACCCAGCUAGUUGGGAGACUAGUCAGGAGACUAGGUCGGAGACUUCCCCUGGAUUGAGAGACAGUCUCUAGAUCUAACAGGGCUCUCGCGAGUGGGCGACUUGAGCGAAAUAGGCGCUCUAGAACUUCAAACUCCGCUCAAAUCUAACUUCAAAGCGAAAUGCAAGUCGCCCGAUUUUCUUUGAUUUCCGCACUCGCUAAUUAGUGCUACCCGGACUGUUGACAAUUUGCACAAUGUCAUAAGGAGUGCCGAAUACACAAACACACGCUGGUAGCAUAAUUUAAGCUCCUCCUACUUCAGGUACUUGCGAGAUUUUCCCGAGAAGUGUGAAAGCGAAUCAAAUUAUCCGAUACACCUCGUUGAUUGUGUUCAGCCAAUUAGCGUCACGUUUAAGUCUUUGACACUUCGUUUUUAAUUGUCAACAUGUUCGAGUGCAAAAAGCAAAGUGUUUUUUUCUGCUGAUUAACCAUGCGAUUAAUUGGAAUUUGGUACACAAUUAUUUGUUAUCUAUGAUAAAAGAACGACAUUUAAUGUAUUAACAAUAUUUAAAUUGACUUCCAUCGAUGAAUUUAUUUGAAUAUGUAUUUCUAGAUUACACAGUUUACUUUCAGUUUCAUUCGAGUGAGAUUCUGAAAUUCCUCCGUGAAUAAAUCGGUGUUAAUAAUAAACACUUCAUACAAGAUAUAACCAAAAUUUGGCGGGUUACAUUUACAGAAUCGGCUUGAAUUUUGAAAAAGAUUUUUUUCAGAAUUUUUUAACGAAACAAUAACCACUGUAUGGGAAAUGAUUUAACUAAGAAAAUGAAUGGUCACAUUAAUACUUUUUAUCAAGAAACAAAAAAAUUACAGCAACCUUUCGAGUCACUCGACAUCAUUGCGGUAGGAAAAGUCUUCCCACUUCUCCCUAAAGUCUCCCCACUUCUCCCUAAAUCUGCUUGAGGGAGAAGUGACUUCUCCCAAAAAAUUGGACCUAGCUAGACCCCUUAUUGUAUGUAUGUAAUAAUGUUGCAUUUUGAAAAUGUUCAGACCUAUUAAAAGAGAAAUAUUAAGGAGAUGCUAGUUGAGAUUGAUGUUGGUACCAUUAGACAUGUUCACUAUCUGUUGAUUUAAUUCAGACAGUUGCAUGCCUGGAGUCUGUAUGAAGCAAAACUAUAUUUAGAUUUUUUUUUUCAACAGAAGCUAUUCAUCUAAUUUUUUCCCAUGAUAUUAUAUCACUAAAUGUGUAAGUGAUGCAAUUGGAUCAAAAUGAUGCAUUUAAAAGUGAAAGAGAAAACUUAUUUUGCUAAAAACAAAUGUUAUAAUUAGUUUGUAAUUAUGAGACAACAAACCUAUCUAUAAUGGUUAACUCCCCUUUUUAUUAUUACUACCAGACACACAGUCAGUGCAAGAAAAGAAAGAUUUUUUACAGGAGUAUUGACAGUGAGAUGUCAGAAUGUGAAAUGGAGACUUAACCCUUACCAUGCUAAAUUUCUAUUAUGGACUGGUCCAUCUUCCAAUUUGGGCAGUACCAUUUAUCAUCUGAAGGGGUGUUUACUAAAAAUUUACUGACUGAAUAGCAAACAGUGCAGACCAUGAUCAGACUGCACGGAUGUGCAGACUGAUCUUUGUCUGCACUGGUCGCAAAGGCAGAAUCACUUGCCGCCAGCAGGCUAAGGGUCAAAAUAUUAGAUAUACAGACAAGAGUAUAAAAUCAGGUUAAAAACAUACAUUACUACAAUUAAUUGUAUGUAUUUUGGCAUACUGCCAGCUUCAAAGGAUUUAAGUGUAGGUAGAAGAACAAUUUCAGUUGGAUGGUUGUUCAACAGGAUAAGGAUGAUUAGAAAAAAGAAAAAAAGGCAGUUGUAUGAUGUUAUCUAUUGCAAUUGUACGCUAAAGGGUGUGUUUGACGAGUCCUGGGUCUUUCAAAAUUUAGCUGCUUUCACAUUUCAUAUUAUAGUAACUUUAUAGUUAUUUUCCAUUUAGAAUAGACUGCAUAACAUUUUAGGAUUAUAGACACAUAUUGUUGACCAUAUGUACAAGUCAUUUUCAUAGCAAUCAUGUCUUGAGAGGCAACUGUGAGAUGACAACCUUGUGUUCAUGAAGUGCUCCAGUCUUGAUGAAUACUCCAUAUAAUUUGUUGUUGCCUUUGUAAUGAUAGAGAGGCUGUGAUUUCUCAUUUUGCUAGUGGCACAAAUAACAUUAUGUUAGUUUGUUAAGUCUUUUUAUUUGUUUUUUUUUGCUGUUGUUGGUAUUUUUGAACAUAUAUAUGAUUCAGAUUUUUUAUAUUUUUGGGAAUGAUGUUUACUUGGGACCAAAUGUGUUAAAUUGUUUAAUUUUUGCCCUAAUGUGAGGAAAUCCACUAACAUUAUUCCAGAAAUCUCUAAUAUUGUACGAUGUUUUUGGACCGUUUUAACUGUUAUGUUUUUGAGGACAGUAGGUCAGUAGAUUGAAAAUAGUGUCUGAGUAAAUAACUGAUGUUCUAUGUUUCUUGUUGAUUGAGUUAAGUGAUUUAUUUGGACAGCUUGCCCUACUAGUAUUCUUCUGAUGAUGCGGCAAACACACCCAAAUCUCUAAUCAACUCUCUUGUUACAUCACGUUCGGAUUAUUGCAACUCUCUUCUAUAUGGAAUUCCAAAACAGUCAAUGAACAAACUGCAAUAUGUCCAAAACACGGCAGCUAGAAUUGUAACCAGAACAUCCAGAUACGACCAUAUAACGCCUGUGCUACGUGAACUCCAUUGGCUUCCUGUGCAAUGUAGGGUAGAAUACAAAAUUAUAACACAUACAUAUCAAUUGCUUUAAUUAAGAACUCUAGUGUGACAGAAUAAUGUUGGCGGUGUUUUUUUUUUCUGUGGGAUGUAUCAUGGAUGUCCUCCGGACCGUUUAGGUAGGGAUUGACCCAAUCAUCCGGGACAGUUUGCAUGCUGUGAUGCAUUUCGCAGACAUCAUACCGGUUAAUUCUGUCUGUUCAAAAUGUAAGAUAUCUUCUGUUCUAUUCUGCUCUAACAUGUGUCUUUGAUGUUUUGCGAUAUUGUAUUUUUGUUUCAUGUUUUGAUCUGCCUACCUUUAAUUUAAAAUGCUUGGUAUCUUAUUACCGUAAUGUAAUUUUAAGUUCUUCUAUAAUAGUUCAAUUACCAUUUUUUAUUGAACAUUAUAUAAAUGAUUUUAUGUAAAGCACUUUUGAACGUAUUUUUAUAUGAAAAGAGUGCUAUAUAAAUGUGGUAUGUAAUAAUAAUAAUUAUUAUUAUUUUGAAGGAACCUUAACAGUUUCAAGACAAGGUGACUAGUUUUAAGGGUUUUCUAUCACAUAGUUUUUCAGAGUAAAAAGCCUUUGAAAUAUCAAAUAAGUAAAUCUUGCCCUGACUACUUCCACUUGUUGAGUUUCAGCAAAAGUUCAUUAUCAGUAAAAUCUGUAAAAAGAUCCUUUCCAAACACAGAAUGCAACCAAGCAGAAUAAUAGCAGACUCGGUUUGAUUGAGUCUGUUCGUGAGAUGUAAUGAAAUGUGCAACACCUCUUACACCCCCUUUCACCGGCUUAAGCAGAACUUUGUUACACUUAUAAUGAAUGGACUCCAUGAUCUCAAAGGACUAGUUUUACAUAUUCUCAUCAUUUUCAUAAGAAAACCAACAUAGUGCAUUUGCGACCAGCAUGGAUCCAGAUCAGCCUGCGCAUCCACGCAGUCUGGUCAGGAUCCAUGCUGUUCGCCAACAGUUUCUCUAAUUGUAAAAGACAUUGAAAGCGAACAGCAUGGAUCCUGACCAGACUGUGGAUGAGCAAUGCUCAGGUGAGUUUUUGUGACCGCUCGAUGUCUGUCUGUCAAAAUUUAGCUUGUGUAUGCGAUACAGGCUGUAUUUUUCAAUUGAUCUGCAUGAAAUUUUGUCAGAAUGAUUACCUUGAUGAAAUCUAGGCCAUGUUCAAAAAUGGGUCAUGUGGGGUCAAAAACUAGGUCACUAGGUCAAAUCAAAGAAAAACUUUGUGUAUGCAAUAGAGGCUGUAUUUUUCAAUUGAUCUUCAUGAAUUUUGAUCAGAAUGAUUACCUUGAUGAAAUCUAGGCCAAGUUUGAAAAUGGGUCAUGUGGGGCCAAAAGCUAGGUCACUAGGUCAAAUCAAAGAAAAACCUUGUGUAUGCGAUACAGGCUGUAUUUUUCAAUUGAUCUUCAUGAAUUUUAAUCAGAAUGAUAACCUUGAUGAAAUCUAGGCCAAGUUCGAAAAUGGGUCAUCUGGGAUCAAAAACUAGGUCACUAGGUCAAAUCAAAUAAAAACCUUGUGUAUGCUAUAGAGGCUGUAUUUUUAGCUCACCUGAGCCAAAGGUUGGGGUCAAAAACUAGGUCACUAGGUCAAAUCAAAUAAAAACCUUGUGUAUGCGAUAGAGGCUGUAUUUUUAGCUCAUCUGAGCCAAAGUCUCAUGGUGAGCUAUUGUGACUGCUCAAUGUCCGUCGUGCAUCGUCUGUCGUCCGUAUGUCAACAUUUCAUAAAAAAAUCUUCUUCUUGGAAACCACUGGGCAGAAUUACACAAAACUUCACAGGAAUGAUCCUUAGGUGGCCCCCUUUCAAAAUUGUCCAAAGAAUUGAAUUCCAUGCAGAACUCUAGUUGCCAUGGCAACCGAAAGGAAAAACUUAAAAAAUCUUCUUGUCCAAAACCACAGGGCCUAGGGCUUUGAUAUCUAGUGUGUAGCAUCAUCUAGUGGUCCUCUACCAAAUUUGUUCAAAUUAUCUCCCUAGGGUCAAAUAUGGCCCCGCCCCGGGGGUCACAUGGUUUAUAUAGACUUAUAUAGGGAAAACUUUGAAAAUCUUCUUGUACAAAACCACAUUGCCUAGGGCUUUGAUAUUUGGUAUGUAGCAGCAUCUAGUGGUCUUCUACCAAGAUUAUUCAAAUUAUCCCCCUAGGGUCAAAUAUAGCCCCGCCCCGGGCGUCACAUGGUUUAUAUAGAGUUAUAUAGGGAAAACUUUGAAAAUCUUGUACAAAACCACAUGGCCUAGGGCUUUGAUAUUUGGUAUGUAGCAUCAUCUAGUGGUCCUCUACCAAGAUUGUUCAAAUUAUCCCCCUAGGGUCAAAUAUGGCCCCGCCCCGGUGGUCACAGGGUUUAUAUAGAGUUAUAUAGGAAAAACUUUGAAAAUCUUCUUGUACAAAACCACAUUGCCUAGGGCUUUGAUAUUUGGUAUGUAGCAUCAUCUAGUGGUCCUCUACCAAGAUUGUUCAAAUUAUUCCCCUAGGGUCAAAUAUGGCCCCGCCCCGGGGGUCGCAAGUUUUACAUAUACUUAUAUAGGGAAAAAAGAUUAAAAACCUUCUUGUCUGAAACCACAACUCUGAGACCUUUGAUAUUUGGUUUGUAGCAUUGUCUUAUGGUCCUCAACCAAAAUUGUUCAAAUUGUACCCCUGGGGUGAAAAGAGGCCCUGCCCUGGGGGUACCAAGUUUUAUAUAGACUUAUAUAGGAAAAAGCUCUAAAAAUCUUUUUGUCAGAAACCAUACAACCUAGGCUUUUGAUAUUUGGUAUGAUGCAUUGUCUAGUAGUCCUCUACCAGAAUUGUUCAAUUUAUGCCCCUGGGGUUAAAAGAGGCCCCGUCCUGGGGUCACUUAGUUAUUAUGUGAGUUAUAUAGGAAAAAUACUUAAAAAAUCAUCUGAUCCUAUUUCCAAGACUAUUUAAUUAUAAUUACCUGAUGACCCCAAGUAAUAUGACGUCACUUGAUUGUGACCAUGACCUAUUGACCUACUUUCUUGUUUUUUAAGAUACAGCCUGGUAAAACUGAAUUUCAUUGACCAUGAAUGUGACCUACUAACUUUCUUAAUAUUUUAUCAUCAGUUUGACAUUUGAAACAUGUAGCUGAUAUUACUCAGGUGAGCGAUCCAGGGUCAUCAUGACCCUCUUGUUCAACUGAUCUUCCUGAAAUUAAGUCAGAAUGAUUGCCUUGAUAAAAUCUAGGCCAAGUUUGAAAAUGGGUUAUGUUGGGUCAAAAACUAGGUCACAAGGUCAAAUCAAAGAAAAACUUGUGUAUGCGAUAAGGUUGUAUUUUUCAACUGAUCUUCACGAAAUUUUGUCAGAAUGAUUGCCUUGAUGAAAUCCAGGCCAGUUUGGAAAAUGGGUCAUGUGGGGUCAAAAACUAGGUCACUAGGUCAAAUCAAAGAAAAACCUUGUGUAUGCGAUAGAGGCUGUAUUUCUCAAUUGAUCUUCAUGAAUUUUUGUCAGAAUGAUUGCUUGAUGAAUUAUAGGUCAAGUUGAACUGUUCGACUAUGGGUUAUCUUGGAUCAAAAACUAGGUCACUAGGUCAAAUCAAAGAAAAACCUUGUGUAUGCAACAGGGGCUGCAUUUUACACCGGAUCUUCAUGAAAUUUGAUCAGAAUGUUUUUCUUGAUGAAAUCUAGGAGGAGUUUGAAUAUGGAUUAUCUAGGGUCAAAAACUAGGUCACAUGGUCAAAUUAAAUAAAAACCUUGUGUACGCAAUAGGGGCUGCAUUUUACACUGUUUUAUUCAUAAAAUUUAGUUUGAAUGAUUGCCUUGAUGAAAUGUAGGUUAAGUUAGAAUACGAGUGAUCUGGGAUCAAAAAGUAGGUCACUUGGCCAAAUCAAAGAAAAACCUCGUGUAUGCAAUAGAGACUGUAUUUUUCAAUUGAUCUUCAUGAAAUUUGGUCAGAAUGAUUGCCUUGAUGAAAUUAAGGUUAAGUUUGAAUAUAGGUCAUUCAAAAACUAGGUUGCUAGGACAAAUAAAAGAAAAACGUUUUGUAUGCGAUAGAGGCAGUAUUUUUCAGUUGAGGUUGAUGAAAUUUAGUCAGAAUGAUUGCCUUGAUCAAAACUAGGUCAGUUUCGAAUGUAGGUCAUCUUGGUUAAAAAAUUAGGUCACUAGGUCAAAUUGAAGAAAAUACUUGUUUACACUUAGGAGACCACAUUUUUGGUCCAAUCUUAAUGAAAAUUGGUCAGAAUAUUUGUUUCCAUUAAAUCACUAGGUCAAACAUGUUUACACUGUUAUGAUGUGUUUCUCAUGUGAGCGACCUAGGGCCAUCUUGGCCCUCUUGUUUCUAGUAAGUGCGUUCAUAUUGAUAAGUGGAGGGUACUCUUCUACAAAUGCUAAAUACCACCUAUGGACAUGCACAACCUGUUUAAAGACCAAUAGUUUUGUUGUAAUUGUUAUAAAGCAUUUAUGGUCAGUAUUUAAUAUGCAAAUAAAUACUACUUACUUUCUCUGGUUUGGUCCACCCGUAUAAGUUUGACUGUAUAUUAAUGUGUUUUGAAGAGCCAUCUAUACUUUUAAUAUGUAUUUGUAAGGAACCAGUCUAAUUAUAAGUUAUCACAGUCAACAGUCAAGAGUCAAUAGUAAUUAUUAUAAGGCAGUGGCUACAAUUACGGUACCGUAAUCUUAGCCUCUGAUUCUAGGAUUACGGAAGUUCCGUAUUCGUAUACAACCCUUUGAGGAUAGUCUAGGAUUACGGAAGUAUUUAAGAGGCAUCAAAUAUAUGUUAAGACGAGCAUGAAUGAUUAUUUCACUUAAAAUAGCGGAAAUGAAAUACAAAAAAGGUAUAACGGGUAUUGAUUCCGCCCGAUUUCAAUAUGCGUGAAAAUCUAAAAUCGUGCCCGCCCGGUUAGCUCAGUAGGUAUCUACGGAUCUCGGGGUCGUGAGUUCAAUCCCCGGGCAGGGCGUAUGUUCUCCGUGACUAUUUGAUAAACGACAUUGUGUCCGAAAUCAUUAGUCCUCCACCUCUGAUUCAUGUGGGGAAGUUGGCAAUGACUAGCGGAGAACAGGUUUGUACUGGUACAGAAUCCAGGAACACUGGUUAGGUUAACUGCCCGCCGUUACAUGACUGAAAUACUGUUGAAAAACGGCGUUAAACCCAAAACAAACAAACUGACAAACAAACAGUGACCGGCAAAAUCAAAUAAUAAAAUUUAAAGUAUAGACAAUUUUUUAAAAUCCUUUUGAGCUAUUAUUAAGAAUACAAUUCUUCGUUUGUCUGCCAAUUUUCAAGCCAAAAAAAAAAGUAUGGUUUUGGAAAGAAAAACGUAUGUGUACGGGUGUUGAUUUCGCCUAUACUAACCAAAAGGAAGUAUCUAAGGGUACGGAUCCGUACCUGUAAAAUCUGAUUCCAGAGGUACGGAUCCGUACCUUUAGACAAGCCUGUUAUGGUUUUUCUAGGGAUACGGACCUCCAUUUUUCUAGAGAUUAAGGGUUAUUUACAUUUCAAAGUUUGUUGAAAAUGAAAUAACAAAUAAGACUUCAUCAGUGUUCACCUUAAACUUGGAUCUAAAUGGUUUACAGAUACCAACGUUCACCCGAUUGGUUAUACAUUUUCUUUAGAAGCGUAAAUAAUCGAGGAACACCAAAUAAAUCAAGAGGUUUCGAAUUUGCAGAAAAAAGAUUAAACAAAAUAAUGGUUGUGAAAAAACCCAACUAUUUUUAGAGUGAUAAUUAACCCUUGGGAUAUUUAUGUUUUUCACACAUUUGGUAGCCGUUACGAGACACAAUGGACGUUUUCACAAACAGUUUCUUUUACUUAAUGUCGGUUAAUUAAUUAUUAAACAAUCAGGUCCGUGUCGAUUAUCAUUAUAUGUUUAUAUGUUGUUAAAUAACAAAAUAAAUAGGUGAAUAUUAUUAUGUGUAUUUUUUUCUCUCCUGAAAUUCAAAUAUAAUUCAUUCAAGGCUGAGAGUCACUCAUUAAUCUGUUAUCAACAGAUUAUUUUGCAAUAAACUAAUCUAAAAAAACAAAAACAAAAAAACAACAGAAAACAAUCGAGUGAACACUGGUUACGUCUUAUCUGUUAUUUCAUUUUCAACAAAAUUUAAGACGUAAAUAAUCUAAAUCUCUAGAAAAAGGAGGCUCGUACCUCUAGAAAGCCCCUAACAGUCUAGAGGUACGAAUCCGUACCUCUAGAAUCAAAUUCUAGAGGUACGGAUCCGUACCCCUGGACAUUUCCUAACCCAAAAUGGCUGAUCGAUAAUACGAAAUAAUAGGACAGGCAUGAAAAAAACAACAACGCUAUUUUAAGUGAAAUAAGUAAGUUUACAAUAACUUUAUGCACAUCCUAAUAUUCAUUUGAUGCCUCUUAAAUACUUCCGUAAUCCUAGCCUUUCCUCAUAGGGUUGUCUAGGAAUACUGAACUUCGUAAUCCUAGAAUCGGAGGCUAAGAUUACGGUAUCGUAAUCGUAGCCACUGCUUUAUUUUAUUAUAAUUAGGUAUGCACAUUCUUUGUUAUAACAGAGUUUAUUUAUUUUCCUAUUCUAACGUGAAUUAAACAGAUAACUGAAA